CCCAGCCUCAGCAAGCAACAAAACUCCCGCAGCUUUGGCUACGUGACUUUGGCUUUGGCUUUAGAGUCAAGAAUAGAGGGGACAGCUGGGACAAUUAUGCUGGUUAGCUGGAGCUAAGAAAUGAGCAAUGAUUAAGAAGAGACCAGCAUCACUGAGGUGAAAUCUGGGAAGCAUUUUCCGACAGCACAAAGAAGCUGUGUUCCAGAGAUAGACCCUCCUCCUGGCUGCCUGCAGAAGACAGUCUCCUUCCCACUCUGUGGAUCAAGAAGUAGAACUCCCAGGUCCUUCUCCAGCACCAUGCCUGUGUGCACAAUGCCAUGCUUCCUCCUAUGACGAUGAUGGACUGACUGAACCUCUGAAACUGUGCCUGUGCCCCAUGUGCAUGCAGUACCUAUACAGGCCAGGAGAGGGCGGGAGAUCCUCUGCAACUGGAGUCACAUGCGUGAGCUUCCAUGCCGGUGCCGGGAAUCGAAUCCUUUACUAGCAGCCCUGUGCUCUCUGAACGAGUGAGGCAUCUCCCUAGCCCCAGCUAUAAAUUUCUUUGUAAAACAAAAAUACAGACAGCGCCAUCUCUACAGCCCUGGCUUGGGUUGUUUCUAUCCGUGUGCCGUCUGGGAAGACAUUUGGAGACGGGGAUUUGGGGACUACACCUUCCUUGUUUAAUGACCGAGGACUGGGAUGGAUGACGGGGGUUCAAAAACCAAACAGUGGCACUGAAAUUACAUUUUCAGACGCACUUUUCUCGUAGGUUCCCAUCCCAAGUUUGCAACCAUUGCGAAGUCCUAACAACCCGUCUGGAAGAGGAAACCGUCCAAAGCAAGAAAAGAGCCUGCCCAAGGGAGGAAGGCUAAGCGGUUCAUCAGAAAGGUUCUCCAGUGUGUUUGUUCUCAGGCUACUUGUCUGUCUGUUGCAUUCUCUGUGUUGGUCCCGUGGGAUGAGCUCAGCCGGCCGGCCGCGGCAGCAACCCCUGGAAAACAGACAGCUGCAGUGGGUGGAGCCCUAGCAACAAGGGGUUAUCUGAAAGCUCCCAUCGGGCCAGGAGAAAGCAGAACAGGAGACAACGGGACAGCAGGGUAGAUAACCCAGACUGAAAAGGUGCAGAAGACCAUCCAUGUAAGAGAAACCACGGACCCAGAGAGCUGUCAAACUUCAAAGACCAAGAGUCCCGGCCCUGGUGCUUGCUGAGAGCCCAAAGGCAGGCAGGCUGGCUAGACAUGCUGUAGAGCUGGGUAGCCCUUUCUUACGUGCUUUCCUAGUUUCCUUUCUGUUGCUGUGAUAAAACAUCCUGACCAAGAGCAACGUUUGGAGAGAAACCGGGCUUAUUUGGCUUAUACUUCUGGGGUCUUAGUCCUGUCAACUGAGAGGAAGUAAACAAACCAACUCAAAGCCUCUUGCCCACCCCAGUUAAAAGCCGGGAGCAGAAUGUCUGCCUGCUUGCUUAGCUAGCAUUCUUCCUAGUUCAGGGGCUUAUUUAUUAACAAGACAAUACCGCACGGACAUGCCCACAGGUCAACCUCAUGUACCUUAUUGCUUCCCAGAUGAUUCUAGGUAACAAGCAGUUGAUACUUGAAAUUGACCGGCAUGGGGAAGCUGGCCUCCCAAUACCCAAGGCGCGAAGAAACACAGGGAUACCCACAGAGCGCCUCUGCUAGCAGUUCCCCAGCUGCCUGCUGCUCCUUGCUUCUCCCGCUCACCCAUGGUUUCCAUCCGGAUCAAACAAAGGAGCCCCAGCCAGCGACAUGGCAACAUCUCUGUUGCAGAAACUCAUGCAUAGGAUAGAAUGUAGAAAAGAAAGAAAAGAAAAAAAAAAUGGGCUUGGAGACUCACACACUCCAAUUUUAAAGAGGUGGGCCCGAGGAUAGAUGUGCAUGGGUCCAGGUCCUGGAAUGUGCGUUCAAACCGAGCCCAGAAAGGCUGACAAGGCCACUCAUUGAGUAGUAGUAAACAAAUGCUGUCACUUUACGGUCUUAUUACUGUGACGGCCAAAGCCAUUUAGGAAAGAACGGGGCUAGUUCUGCCUCGCAGUUC
rnacentral:lncRNA from 1 species